ACUGGUCAGUCGACCCCGAACCGCGCAUGCGCGGGACCCCGAACUGCGCAUGCGCCGGACCCCGCCGCGUGUAAGGCGGGGAGCCCGAGACUUGGUUCUAAGAGCGCCCACUGCGAUCUGGGGCCUCGGCCAGGAGACCUCGGUGCAGGCCUCAGCUCUGCUCCUGGCUGCAUGAAAUCAUCUCGGGCACCUCUCACGCCUCAGAAUUUCAAGUGAGGCUGAAGGCCCCCGGCUCGUCCCGCUGUUGCCGCCCAUGACACCUGACCAGUAGUCAGGAUUGCUCUCCAAGUCUCCAGACACAGGGAACUGCUUGCUUCGCAUCUGAUGCUCCACAGGAACUGGCUCCAGUUGGAAGCCUACUUGUUUACAGAGAGGGAGGCUUCCUACAUGCUCUGUUCUUGGAAUAGAAGAACCACUGUUAUUGCUGCACCUACGGCAGGCUUUCCAGAACUUGGUUAUCUGUAGCUGGCCCCUCCUAGUACAUCAUCAUCCUUGCUCAAAUGUUUUCUUCUUCCUGUAUAAUUCUGUGAUGAGCUGUGAUUAUCCCAGGCAUGUUGGGCCAAAAAGGGAGAGAGAAGCUACAGAAUCCUCCCUACUGUUGGCCCAGUCCCAAGAUGGGCCUUCAGAGCCAGUACCACCACAUGCUUUAGAGGCACCCCACUCUGGUCUCCUUGGUCUGUGCACUCCCCACACAGCAAGAAGUGCACAGAUCAAGGGGAAAUGCACAGCUAGUGUCCAUAUGCCCCUCUUCUAGCUCACACUCAUCCAGGAACCUGGAAUAUCCUGCCUGAGUGGCACCAAGACUAUUUCCAGAGCCUGGGUAGGCCUCUUCCCCUCUAAUCCAAGUUUUCCUGGUAUAUAUGACCUUGGGUGGCCAAGCCAGCUGUUUAGAGGUUUGGGAAGAAAAGGAGGGUGGGCUAUACUUCUGGCCUGUGUGCCUCUAUUUUUACUCUGGCCCCAGCUCAAAAAUGUAAGGGGUGGGGGUCUAGUCAUAGCCUCCUCAUUUUCUAAGGUGGCAUCCGUUAGAUUUUUACAAAGGCACUUGUGAACAAGGACCAGAAUUCUAGAAAGAAAAAAAAAAAACCCAACUAUUUAUUUAUAAA